AUGAUGGUUAGGGUCACAAUGACAUCCCCCUGAACCCGUCCAAGCCUAAACUCCCUCACCCAACAACAGCCCAGACAAGGUUAAUCAAGCCUCGCUGUGUGUUAUAUAAGGCCAGUUAGGGAUCUAUGCCAUUAAAUUAAGGCUAAGGUAAAGUAGCUUCCUUCUGUAAAACACAAGGAGACUUCACAUAAUCCUAAAUGAAUGUAUUAAGGUAAAAACGUAAGCACUGAUACCCCGGGGUUAGGAACCUGUUGGUUGAUUUAAACCUGUUGGUUUAAAUCAACCGACAGGUUAUAAGGUAGCCAUGAUCCAUGAACCCAGGUAAAAUGGUAAAUCUAAGUAGAGAUACACAUCAAGCCUGAGGUCAGGGUUGGGGUAGGGGAAGGGUCAGAGUUAGAUGUUCAUGAUUUUCCAUUCAUUUGCAUGCCUUCCGCCCCGACCCCAAUUAUCCAGGAGGACCAACAUGGACAUCAGGCAGGCAUUUGAAUUGGGCCACUUGGGUCCAAACAGGACAUUUGGGAAGAUUUUGCAAUUCCUGGUAAUGCCUGAUGGCAGCCUUGUCUUGAAGAGUAGAGUGACGUUCACCCCACAUGAAGCUGGGGGCCAAAUGGCAUAUGUGUAAUGGGUGGGUCAAUGUGGACAAGGUUCUGCUCUCUGCUGGGUUUGGACCACCUUAUAUUAGUAGUUCUGGCUCCUCCUGGUUCUGGACACCUUUUCCAAGGUACGCCUGGUUCCUGGUUCUCCCCUUGGUUCUCAGUUUACCAAGUUUCUGAGCACCAGGCCUAGAGUAACCCGCGACCAUUAGGGGCCUCCUGGGUCGUCCUCAGUGUCCCGUUCAGUGCAUGCCAAAUGCCCCGUUUUAUCCCUAAAGAACCCUUUUACUUCCUGUGACCAGAACUGAUCUGUGCAGCGUUGAUCAGGUCAGAACUGAAAUGUUUAAAAUCAUACACACAAAAAAGGAGAAAAAUCACAUUAAAAUAUUUAUUUUUUGUUUAAACUCUUCAAACAGUCGGAUUCAUCUUUUAUACAGAAAAAAGUAAAAACAUGUUUGUCCUUUAAAAUGGUGGAAUGUCCUUUAAAAACAGUGAGACUGCGUCACGUGACUGGUCACUGCUGCCGGACAGAAAUUUGAAUUCAAUGUCUUUACAACGCCAAGUCACCUGUCCUCUGAGAAACCGAGCUGCUGAUUUCCCCCGAGUUCAGUCUGACAGGCAGAACUCAGCCUGGCAGUCUAAACACAGGGUGCUACAGGGUAAAAACAUGAGCUAAGUUUGUGCACAAACUGUGAGAAGUGUUUUUAGGUUAGUGUUUAGUGAUGUCCCACUGCGCCUGAACGCAGCACGACCCCUCAGUAAACAUGUUUUAAAUUAAAAAGCUGCUUCCUGUUGUCUUCUUCUUCCUCCACUAAAACGAGCUCCAUAAAUAAAUGUAGUGCGCUCGGAGCAGGAUGAACCGCUACAGCAAACCAACAGUGACCUUUAACCUGCAGUGUCGCCAUGGCAACAGACAGGCUUCAGCUUCGUAUGUACAACAUAUCUACACAUGUAUAUAUAUAUAUUUAUAUUUAUAUAUAUUUACAGGAGUUUUCUGAACACUAACUGCUCCGUUACAGGGUGAAAAUCAGAACAACAGGAAAUCCAAACAGCUGAAUGUAAACGACAAUAAAAACAAACAUACAUAUAUGUAUAAACAUGAUUUCAUCUGUUGGCCCCAGGAUUGGCGGAAAGCCUGACAGUCAGAGUUCAGGGUUCAGUCAGAAAGAUCAAAGCGACUUUGGAUCUGAUGGAGACGCCAGAAACAGAGCGAAAGAAAAUAAAACAUCAAAAAUGGAGCCAGUCUUCAUGCUCCACACUUAAACUGAGCAACGCCUAGCUCUCUGCUGAUUGGUCGGCUUUCUACAGCCGGCCAAUCAGAGGACAGAGACCAAGAAACGAGCCUGGAGAAACAAACUGGAUUUUAAACAGAACUUCUGCUUUUCACAGCAACUUAAGGUAUGAAGUUGAGUAAAUAAAAUAAAAUAAGCCAUUUUUUAUAAGUAGCACUGUUAUAAUUUCAUCUGAAGUAAAAAAAUCAUACAGAAUAAAUUCUGGCUUCUGUUUAUUUCUUGUGUUUAAUUUAACCAACAUCUGGUCUGAAACUUGCUUAUUGGCGUUUCUGUCAACUCGUUCACAUACAGAGCACUUCACACUUAAUCUGAGUCUGAGUCUGAGAGAAAAACUAGAUUUAAAACCAUAUUUUAAAUAUGCGUCAUGUGACCGGUCACUGCUGCAGGACAGAAACCUGAAUUUCUGAUAUUAUAGUAUAUCAAAGGUCUGUAGUGAUCCAACAUAUCAAGCACAGCUUGUGUUCGCUAUUGUAACAUGAGUUUAGCUAACUGUGUAGCUAACAGCUAACUAACUUAGCCAGAGUUUUUGCUUUCCUAAAUUUUGGCCU